UCUAAUACACUUGUCACUUUCUCUGUUUUUCUAAUUAUUUCUUUUUACCUGUUGACAGAAAAUUGAACGGAGCGCAAAUAGGACUUACCCCUCCAGUACGUAAAUAGGCAACUACCCACAUAACAUGGUUUGCUGUUGGCUCCUGUUUAAAGAAAGUGUUCUCACUUCAAAUCUGAACGAUGAACAUCCCCUGGAAAUGGGCCUUCGAUUGAGAUAUUUUUCUGCAAAUUGCGCUACUUGCUCUACUGCUAUAAUGUUCAAAGUGAUAUGGACAAACAGUAAUUAAUGAAGCAGUUCUUUCUGAAAAGCAGGUAAAUCGUAGGACCCUGAAGUUAAUGUAAUUUUUCAGAACACUUGUAUCAGUAUUCUGGGAUCUACCCCAGUUAAAAUUCAUGGAACGAAGCUUUAUGCAAUUCAAAAUGCUUAAUAAAAAAAAGAAAGAGAAAAAGAGAGAAAGAAAAAAAGAAAGGAAGAAAAAGAAAG
rnacentral:lncRNA from 1 species